GUAGCAGUGCUACUAAGAUGGCUUACCUUUGCAAAUACUGAUAGGGCACAGAAAUUAUGUCUAUAGCCAGCUAGAGAAGAUGUUCACCUGGGGCUACAAGCUAC